UACCUUUGUUUUUCUCUCUUUCGCUUAUGUCGAUUAAAAUCCUCAUGCCUGUAAUCCCAGCACUUUGGGAGGCCAAGGCAGGUGGAUCACCUGAGGCCAGGAGUUUGAGAAAAGCCUGGCCAACACGGUGAAACCUUAUCUCUACUAAAAAUACAAAAAAUCAGCUGGGUGUGGUGGCAUGUGCUUGUAGUCUUAGCUACUCUGGAGGCUGAGGCAGGAGAAUUGCUUGAAGCUGGGAGAUGAAGGUUGCAGUGAGCUGAGAUUGAGCCACUGCACUCCAGCCUGGGCGACAGAGCAAGACUUUUUCUCAAAAAAAAAAAAAAAAAUCCUAUUUGACAAUAAAGUGAUCUUGAACACAAACACAAAGAGAAUGAAAUAAAGCAGUUAAAAACUCAGUACAAGGGUCAUUUUCUUUUUCAGUCUUCCCUGCUGUCUGAUCCUAGAGAAACUGAAAGGAGCUGUAUCUGCUGUAUCUUUGUAUCUCCAGCACACAGAAGACCCUAAACUGUAUCUGUUGAAUGAAUGAACAGAUGAAUACAAGCCCUGAUAGAAGGAAGCAAUGGUCUGGUACAGAACUGGAUGUGGACUCAUAUGGAGAUUACCCAUUCUCAGGAAUGUCUUUAUCAGCAGCAUGAAAAUGGACAAAUACAGCCUGCAACACCACAGCCACUGUUGGAAUUGGAUGUGGUCCUGAAAUCACAGUAUCCACUAUAGAGCCACAGUUUUUUUUUUCUCUCAGAUAGGGUUUCACUAUGAUGGCCAGGCUGGUCUUCAACUCCUGACCUCAGGCGAUCCACCCACCUCGGCCUCCCAAAGUGCUAGGAUUACAGGCGUGAACCACCGUGUCUGGCUUGGAUUCUCUUUUAUAGAGCUCCGAACAUAGAGGAUACAAAGUAAGUAAACAGAAUGGUCCUUGCUUUCAAAAGAGAUUAUGAUUCAAUUUUGAAAAAAAAAAAAAAAGAAUGCAAAGUAUGCUGGUAUUCCUAAUGUGAAGGAGUAUUUUACUUUUUAGCAAAACCCUUCUCUUCCAUGUGGAGAACAUUCAGCGGGAGGUAGAAAGGAGCAAGCAGUGAACGGAUUCAUCUUCCCCUCUACAUCUGAAAGGAUAAGCAGGCUCUGAGUUUCGGAGUUAGUUAGCAUGCUAUUUUAUACAAAUCUCAGGUGUUUAAGUACUGCUUUCCUGUUUGUUUAGUUUUUGUG
rnacentral:lncRNA from 1 species